rnacentral:lncRNA from 1 species
AUGGCCAAUGUGAGAGCAGCAAUAUCUGCAGGACAUGACAGAAGCAAUACUGAAUUUAUACUACUGAUGAUGCAGUGGAGACCAUCAGCCCAUCACAAGCUGUUUCCUGGGGAUACUUUUGUCUUGAUAUUAGGUCCAUAUUUGGCUGCCGUACUCCUCGUUGCUUUGGAAGAGCAUAUGAAGUUCACAGCAAUUUCGUGUGGAUUUUCAAGAAUAUCUGUGGGGCUUAAGGUGAGCAAGGAAAAAAGAAAGGCAGGCAGUGUGGCUCCCUCUGCUUUUGUUGGUGAGCCAACAAGAGACAAAAACAUGGCCACACUUUGGAGAGUUUGGGAGGGUGGUCUCUCACGGCAUAAAGUCCUAAAAAAGGAGGGAAUAGGAGGUGAUACGGUUGGGUUUGACACCGGCUGGGCAGCCAAGAAGCAGCCACUAGUCCUCCCAGACCUGGCCAGGAGGGUCUUCAUCAAGAGGUUGACCCUGCCACUUGGAUGAUGACACAAUC